rnacentral:hammerhead_ribozyme from 1 species
GCACUGUUGACGAGUCCCCAACAGGACGAAACAACUGUCCAGUGC